CCGCUCUAGAACUAGUGGAUCCCCCGGGCUGCAGCCCAAUGUGGAAUUCGCCCUUCGAAACGCCGCGCGCGGCGGGCGGGGCGGGGGCACGGGGGGCCUACGGGAGGCAGCAGUGGGGAAUAUUGCACAAUGGGCGCAAGCCUGAUGCAGCGACGCCGCGUGAGGGAUGGAGGCCUUCGGGUUGUAAACCUCUUUUGUUUGGG
rnacentral:rRNA from 1 species